GAUGAAGGAACGUAGCGAAAUGCGAUAAGUAAUGCGAAUUGCAGAAUUUCCGUGAGUCAUCGAAUCUUUGAACGCACAUUGCGCCCACUGGUAUUCCGGUGGGCAUGCCUGUUCGAGCGUCAUUAUCCUCCCUCAAACCCCGGGUUUGGUGUUGGACCCAAGUUGUGUGAACAACUGGUCUCAAAGACAAUGACGGCGUCCGUGGGACCCUCGGUGCAACGAGCUUUUAGGAGCACGCAUCGAGUUGCAAGGACCUUCCGGGCCGGUCUCCUUUACCAUUUUACAAGGUUGACCUCGGAUCAGGUAGGAAUACCCGCUGAACUUAAGCAUAUCAAUAAGCGGAGGA
rnacentral:misc_RNA from 1 species